rnacentral:misc_RNA from 1 species
GAUGAAGAACGUAGCAAAUGCGAUAAGUAGUGUGAAUUGCAGAAUUCAGUGAAUCAUCGAAUCUUUGAACGCACAUUGCGCCCGCCAGUAUUCUGGCGGGCAUGCCUGUUCGAGCGUCAUUUCAACCAUCAAGCCCCAGGCUUGUGUUGGAGCCCUGCGGCUGCCGCAGCCUCCCAAAACCAGUGGCGGGCUCGCUAUCACACCGAGUGCAGUAGUUUACUCUUCGCUCAGGGCGUGUGGCGGGUGCUAGCCGUGAAACCCCCAACUUCUCAAGGUUGACCUCGGAUCAGGUAGGAAUACCCGCUGAACUUAAGCAUAUCAAUAAGCGGAGGA